AUUGAACGCUGGCGGCAGGCCUAACACAUGCAAGUAGAGCGCGAAAGUUCUUCGGAAUGAGUAAAGCGGCGGACGGGUGAGUAAUACAUGGGAAUCUGCCUGGUAGUGGGGGACAACGUUUCGAAAGGAACGCUAAUACCGCAUACGCCCUACGGGGGAAAGGGGGGGAUCUUCGGACCUCUCGCUAUCAGAUGAGCCCA
rnacentral:rRNA from 1 species